UGAAGCUUUCUACUCCCAUAAACAUAGACAGCCUCAGCGGCAGUUCUACUCUGUCCUACAGGGGUGGCUAUAAGUCAAAACUCCAUGGAGGUGGGUGAAAUCUCAAGAUGGUAGAGUUGGCAUUGGAUGACUGAAGACGCGGAGUGUCAGGAUUUUCUCUUCAACCCAGGGCAACCCUUUGCAGGUUCUUGAGGAAGAGAGGCAUGCACAUAGUGAUGUGUUCCGGGGAGGUGGGAACCUUCGCCACCAUCUAAGGUGCAGCCUGCAGGACAAACCAUACAUUCUCAGACGUGUGGUGGAGGAAGCAGUAGGCAGCACUCUGCAUCCAGGCACCGGCUGCCCUCAUUCACACGUGCAGCUUAUUGAUACCGAAGCCUCCUGUGCCCAUGCUGUCUGCCCGGUGCCAAAGGACACACUAAUACACAGCUUUUACAAAAUGACAAGGCAGACCUUCUGGGGCCCAAUUGUUUAAGGAUCAUCCACAGGAGUGUCCCUCUUGCCCAGCUCUCUCCUAAGGACCUUGUGAAAUGACACGAGGGAGAGAAGCCUGUCAGCCACAUGGCGUGACAUCGUGGCUGCGACCGGGGCUGGGGUUGUGAAGAUGGCGCAGGCCCCGCGGUGUGUCACCGUUGGGCAUACAUUCGCUAGGGGCUGGGGGGCUCUGUGACUUCUGCGGCCUGAGUUUGACAGGGAGAAGUGACAGGAGCACUGUUAAAGCUAAAAGGAAAGAGAAAGCAGAAGCCCAAACCACCUCCAGCUCAAACUGGGAGAAAAGGAGACGCUGUGACCCGAGUCUGGGAGGGGCCCUCAGACACUCUCUCCCUCCUGUGAUUACAGACCAGACGACUGGCACUUCUACACAGGAAGCAAGUGCCCGGGUCAAGAAAAUGAAGUCAGGGGAGAAGGUCAUGCAACAACAACAACAACAACCCGGCACCCAGCAGCAAGGAGUGAGGAAAAACAGAGACCUCGGCUAACCAUGGUAAAGAAGACAAGAAAGAGGACGUUUGUGAGGCACCUCAAAAGAGGGAUAGAAAGACUUUCAACAGUAAAAUCUACCGAAAACCCAACCCCCAAACCCACUGAGUUCAUUGCAACUCACAGAUUGCAACCCUGUAAGGGCAGAGUAGAAACUGCCCCGAGGCGAUGAUAAAUCCUUGCAGCAACA